GUUGACCAGCUUCACUUGAGUAAAUAUAUAAAUAACAAACCAAGAUAUUAUUUUUUACAGUGUACGGGUGGAAAAAAAAUUCAAAAUGGCCGACAAAAAAAAAAAAAAAAAAUCAGGUAUUAUUCAAAUAUUUACGGUUCUCGUCAGUCUUUUGUAUGUCCUCUUUCAGAAUGGGUUUAAGUAGCACAGAAAUGUCUAGAAAUCAAUCAAAACACAUAGCCCCAUACCAGAUAAUGAUUAACAAAAACAUGGUAACGACAUUCGAAGGACUAAAGAAACAACAUGGGAUUUUCACGGGGGGGGGGGGGGCAGCUCGUCCAAAAAAUGCAUCAGCGAUUUUGAAAACGUGGGGUUUUUGUAAACAUCUUCAGCCUUCGAGUCUGUCAAACGAACAUGCAUCGUCAUUUUAGUAUCCAGACGUUUUAGUUUAAAUGUGAUAUAAUACGACAGAGAAGCAGAGUGUCGCCUCUACAGCGCCCUCCACUGGUACUGCCAACUCAUGUGGAAUUUAAAUCUUAUAUUUUGUUAGUUUUGAAUGAUUUUAGUUAGAACUGGGAGACUAAAAUAUAUCUACAGGAGAAUGGCACAGGUUUUUAGGUGCUGGGGUUAGCCGCACGUUAGCGUUAGCGUAGAUGCUAAUAUGUGAAGGAGGGCACUGUACUUAAACAUUUAGAAUUAGAACAUUAUGGAUUUAAGUUAUUUAAACAGUUCAGUUUAUAUGUUUUGGGUCAAUUUUUGAUUUUGGAUGUUGUUUAGUUGUAUUAUCUGUAAAAUAAAUGGACAAAAAUAAAGGAUUAAUCUGAUCAGUGCUGGUUGUGAUGUUGUUUUGCUGUGAACUGUGGGAAUUUUCCAGUCCCAUUUCCUGAAAAUUUUCCUACUUUCAACACCUGCCAACGAUUCACUGCUGCGCCUUUCUGUGACCACGACACACAAAACCAGGACUAAACCAGGUCUGAACCAGGACUGAACCAGGACUGAACCAGGACUGAACCAGGACUGAACCAGGACUGAACCAGGACUGAACCAGGACUGAACCAGGACUGAACCAGGACUAAAACCAGGACUAAAACAGGACUAAACCAGGUCUGAACCAGGUCUGAACCAGGACUAAACCAGGUCUAAACCAGGUCUAAACCAGGUCUAAACCAGGACUAAACCAGGACUAAACCAGGACUAAACCAGGUCUUAACCCCCUCCGCUCCACACAGCCUGUUCUCGCUCUCACUGACUCACAUUCUGACACUUUCCUAUUUUCUUGCUUUUAAAACUCAAACUUUGGGGACGGUUUGUUCUCUGCAUGAAUCCCACCUGUGCACAGCAAAAAAAACAAACAAAUAAACUGCAUUUUACUUCUGAGUUAUUCCAUUUAGCAUCACACUAAGAAUGUUUCAGUAGUUUCACAAUAUUUCUUCUAAGUUUCAAUACUUUUCUUCAUAAUUUGGAGCCACAUUCUCUGCGAGUGACGUAAGAAAAUAUAUCCG
ensembl:lncRNA